AUGAUGUUUGCGACGGUGAUGAUGACAGAAGAGAGAGAGCACAGUCAGAUGGCACCACCGGCUGCACCACCCGAGCCGGUGGCGGAUACCCGUCACAGAACAGCUUGUCAUAAUUGCUGCUAUUAUUAUUAUUAGCCUCAAAACUAAGAAGUUGCUGAUGACAGACUUUUGGUGGUGAUGUUUCGUGGUUGAGUUUAAGGUGUGAACCCGAACAGUUGUUAUGAAACAGGCUGAAUUGCUGCUUUCCGUGUACUUUUUUGGUGCCCGAAGAUGAUUCUGGAUAUGGGUUCUGUUUUAGGGCCCGGGUCGAGUAUGUGGGUUCUUCUUCACACUUGACCAUUCCCGUCCAUAGUGGGUUCGUGAGAGUUGGUGUUUGGUACACGUGUGGACUUGCGAAUUGUAACAUCGUGGUACCUUGGUGAGUGGAGAAAAGCCCUGCAGCACGUGAGGUAUCGGGUUGAGGCUUUCUUCUCCUACGGUUAUGUCCAUCAAGACGUUUCGCAGCUUCGUUCCCCCGGCG
rnacentral:pre_miRNA from 1 species